UGAAGUAUCUAAGGUAGGAGCUGCAUUAGCCGUCCCGAUGCUGAGAUAUUGGAUGAACUCACAACUAAUCGCGGAGAGCUAAAGCACAGAACUUCAAGCCUACGUGAAGAAAGACCGGUUUAGGUUCCUUCAAAUGCCGUUCAGCCAAGCCUGUGAAGAUAGGGAAGUGUUUUUACUGUAGAAAGUGAUGAUCCUCAAGCUGCAGUCCAUUGAGGUGAAUAUUGUUGCCACGUAAUGUACUACUGAUGGUGUUGUACUUGGGCUUUUAACCCAAGCGUAUCUGUGUGGAAGGUGUAAUUUGUAAGGACAGGUAGAUAGCGUAACCUAGGGAGUGAUUGGAAAGAGUAAGAAGAGAGAACAGAUGCAAGAUAGUCUUCGGAUAUGAAAGGGAAAUUGGCUGAACGGAAACAAAGUAGAACCAUAUCAAAUAUCAUUAUUUAAAUAGACCGUA